GAUGAAGAACGCAGCGAAAUGCGAUAAGUAAUGUGAAUUGCAGAAUUCAGUGAAUCAUCGAAUCUUUGAACGCACAUUGCGCCCAUUAGUAUUCUAGUGGGCAUGCCUGUUCGAGCGUCAUUAAUUCCACUUAAGCCCUGCUUAGUGUUGGGAAUCUACUCUAGUGGUGCUACCCUGGAGCUACCCCUGAAAGGGGGCUGGCCCGGUAGCUACCCUGUAGUUCCUCAAAGAUAGUGCGCGGAGUUGCGUGGUCCUCUGAGCUUAGUAACUAUACACCUAGCUUUGGAGUGUCCCGCGGCGCCUGCCGUUUAAACCCCAUCUUUUAAUGGUUGACCUCGGAUCAGGUAGGAAUACCCGCUGAACUUAAGCAUAUCAAUAAGCGGAGGA
rnacentral:misc_RNA from 1 species